rnacentral:rRNA from 1 species
GAGUUUGAUCCUGGCUCAGAACGAACGCUGGCGGCAGGCCUAACACAUGCAAGUCGUGCGCGCCCUUCGGGGUGAGCGGCGGACGGGUGAGUAACGCGUGGGAAUAUGCCCUUCUGUUGAGGAUAGCCCUGGGAAACUGGGAGUAAUACUCGAUACGCCCUACGGGGGAAGGAAGGAUUAGCCCGCGUUAGAUUAGGUAGUUGGUGAGGUAAUGGCUCACCAAGCCUACGAUCUAUAGCUGGUUUUAGAGGAUGAUCAGCCACACUGGGACUGAGGCACGGCCCAGACUCCUACGGGAGGCAGCAGUGGGGAAUCUUAGACAAUGGGCGCAAGCCUGAUCUAGCCAUGCCGCGUGAGUGAUGAAGGCCUUAGGGUCGUAAAGCUCUUUCGCCAGGGAUGAUAAUGACAGUACCUGGUAAAGAAACCCCGGCUAACUCCGUGCCAGCAGCCGCGGUAAUACGGAGGGGGUUAGCGUUGUUCGGAAUUACUGGGCGUAAAGCGCGCGUAGGCGGACCAGAAAGUAUGGGGUGAAAUCCCGGGGCUCAACCCCGGAACUGCCUCAUAAACUCCUGGUCUUGAGUUCGAGAGAGGUGAGUGGAAUUCCGAGUGUAGAGGUGAAAUUCGUAGAUAUUCGGAGGAACACCAGUGGCGAAGGCGGCUCACUGGCUCGAUACUGACGCUGAGGUGCGAAAGUGUGGGGAGCAAACAGGAUUAGAUACCCUGGUAGUCCACACCGUAAACGAUGAAUGCCAGUCGUCGGCAAGCAUGCUUGUCGGUGACACACCUAACGGAUUAAGCAUUCCGCCUGGGGAGUACGGUCGCAAGAUUAAAACUCAAAGGAAUUGACGGAAGGGCGAAU